rnacentral:lncRNA from 1 species
UCCGUUGAAAACUCUGUUAAUGUGCUGACAUGGCACAUGUAUGGGACUCAUAACUACACUUAUGUGUUGCCAUGUGGGUUAAAAAAAUAUCAAUUUGUAAAAAUUGCUUAAAGGUUUUCAAACCAUAAAGAAAAACUAAAAAAAUGAAAAUGAGAAGGUAAAUUAACAAACACCAACCCAAAGGGGCCAAAACUCAAAACUUCAUCCGCCAUCGGCCCCCCAACUCUAAACGCACAAACCACCUCAACCCAGAUUGGACCCCUCCCUUGACAGCCCUGCCACUCACUACCCUCCCCCACCCACCCACCGAAAAUCCAACUACACAUUUCCCCAAUCUCCAGACCUCUGUCACCCGAGAUCUUCCCAGUUAUUUGUGCAAGACCGACCAAAAAAAAAAAAAAAAAAACAAUCUGUGCAAGGCACAAAUGCUACCCCCUUUGUCACUAAAUUUUCUCUCCUCUCUACAACCCAAACAGAACCACCUUAAUAGUUUUCAUACUGAUACAAUAAAUCGGUGGUUGAAUCAAUUGAGGCACAUCUGCAGUUCAACUUCAUCUUUCCAUUUUCUAGAGAGGGAGAGAAGAGGGGAGGGAGGGGGAGGAGGGGGGGGAAGCGGGCGGUUUGGGUGUUUGGGGAUUUGGAUUGGUUGAAUGUGUGCCACAUCACACAAAUGUAACUUUAAACGAAUUUGGACAAAAGGACCAAACUGAUGUGUGUGAACAAACAUGGAGGACCAAAUUGAUUGAACUGAAACACUGUGAAUGAAAAUUAUGAUUUUCCAAACAUCAAGGACCUUUGUGAUAAAAACCCAUACAUAGAAUAAACAUACAGUACAAUAUGUAUAAUUCAAUAGGAAGCAGAAUUCUUCGAUUCUAUAUAUCUUCUCGAAAACAGAAUUUUGACAUUUUAUUUGGUGAAAUUUUGUUUGCCAGUAUCUUCAACAAAGUAUUGCUUUUCUUUUUUGGGUCUGUGAGAUUAAAAUUUUGGUCUGAACGACUUGGGUUUCAAGUUGCACUCUCAGCAAUCAAAAUGGGAAAAUCGGCCUUGAUAUAUACACUUUUGCAUCGGGUCUGGAACUCUGACUGAAUUUGAGCUUAGGAAGAGGUACUACACUUAUAAAUGACAGUUUCAGUUGCAGAAGACUACCUUGUCCACCAACAACAAAGCCUUUUCUCACUAAAUGGGGUCGGCUAUGACUACCUUUUCCAUCAAGUGAUAAAUUAAAACUAAAAGAAAUGAUACUGGCCUGAAUUUACACUCAGAUGUCAGUGUUAUGUGCACAAAAUUCGCCCCCCCCCCCCUGCACCAAUAAAUUACCUAGUCUCAGCUGGCAUAGGACUCAUUUCUAUC